ACCUGGUUGGCUCAGUAGAGCAUGUGACUCUUGAUCUUACGGUUGUGAGUUCCAGCCCCACACUGGGUG
rnacentral:tRNA from 1 species